rnacentral:misc_RNA from 1 species
GAUGAAGAACGCAGCGAAAUGCGAUAAGUAGUGUGAAUUGCAGAAGUACCGUGAAUCAUCGAAUCUUUGAACGCAAAUUGCACUCUCUGGUAUUCCGGGGAGUAUGCCUGUUUGAGGGUCGCUUAACAAACCAUCGAUUUCGUUGCUUUUUUUUUAAAAAGUGAUGUUUAUCGGAUUUGAGCCGUCUUUUUUUUUUAUAUUUAAGUGGCUUAAAAUUGAUUUUUUUGGUACGAUCGAAGCGUAUUUUUAUGAUCAAUUUUUGGUUAAAGAAACGCACACGUACCGUUAUUUAUAUGAUGUAAUACGUUUGACUAUUGGAUUUAGUUCAUUCGUAUACGAUAUUUUUCAAUAUUUGACCUCAAAUCAGGUAAGAACACCCGCUGAACUUAAGCAUAUCAUAAGCGGAGGA